rnacentral:rRNA from 1 species
GAUGAACGCUGGCGGCGUGCCUAACACAUGCAAGUCGAACGAAGCACUUUUUACGAUCCCUUCGGGGUGACGAAUUUGUGACUGAGUGGCGGACGGGUGAGUAACGCGUGGGAAACCUGCCUUGUACCGGGGGAUAGCAGUUGGAAACGACUGAUAAUACCGCAUAAGCGCACAGUAUCACAUGAUACAGUGUGAAAAACUCCGGUGGUACAAGAUGGUCCCGCGUCUGAUUAGGCAGUUGGCAGGGUAACGGCCUACCAAACCGACGAUCAGUAGCCGACCUGAGAGGGUGACCGGCCACAUUGGGACUGAGACACGGCCCCAGGACUCCUACGGGAGCAGCAGUGGGAAUAUUGCCACAAUGGAGGGAACUCUGAUG